rnacentral:tRNA from 1 species
GGGGAAGUGGCGGAAUCGGCAGACGCAGCGGACUUAAAAUCCGCAGACCCAACAGGUCGUGAGGGUUCGAGUCCCUCCUUCCCCA